UCAAUUCUUUAAUAUGAUAAAUGGGAUGAAUAUUAUGCAUACAAUCUUCGACGAUUCGACGAACUUCUUUUAAACCUUUGUAUCCUCCCAUAACGGCGACAGUUGUUCCUUGCACCAAAAUGUAGCAUUGUGUUAAUAAUUCCAAUGCCUUCAAAGUUUGACCGUUAGUACCGAUUAACCGUUGGCGACGUUUGACAAACCGUUCUUUAUUGCGAAGAAUAUUUCCUAUUUUAAUAAUGUCACAUGCAACGCCGUCCUGCAUAAUCUUGACUGCCUGAGGAAAUGGAACGCUUCUCGCAAGCAACUUAAUUAAAUCCCUAGCAUCUAAAAUGGAAUAUGGAUCAAAUGUUUUUCUUGUAGUUUUUACAGUCAUACUUCCUUCAACCAAAUCGAGAACACAUGUAAUGCCAAACUUAUCCAAUGCUCUAGUGACAUGUGGCCAAACUUCACGCAAAUAUUUUUC